CAACCCUCGGGCCCCGCAUUCGUGCGGGCCCCGGCGUUGGGGACCGGCCCCCGCAUCGGACGGUCGCCCCCAAAAACCAGUGGCGGUCCCGCCGCGGCCUUCUCUGCGUAGUAGCAUACACCUCGCACUGGAGAGCGGCGCGGCCACGCCGUAAAAGAAACGAACUUCUAAA
rnacentral:misc_RNA from 1 species